UACGAGAGGCGCAAACGUUAUUCGGAUUUACUGGGCUUAAAGAGUUCGUAGGCGGCGCAGAAAGUAGGGUGUGAAAGCCCUCGGCUCAACCGAGGAAUUGCGCUCUAAACUACUGUGCUUGAGGAAGCUAGAGGUGAGCGGAACUGAUGGUGGAGCGGUGAAAUGCGUAGAUAUUGGGAAGAACACCUGAGGCGAAGGCGGGUUGCUGGGCCGACACUGACGCUGAUGCGCGAAAGCCAGGGGAGCGAACGGG
rnacentral:rRNA from 1 species